UGCUUCUCCUACAGCAUAAAACUUAUAUACCUUCCCUUAUCCAAUCGUCCAUCCUAAAUGGACGGUUGAGAUGGCCCUAAUCACAGUGUCACAUUACAUCUCUAAGAGAAAAUAUUCGUAGCACUAUUAUAAUUGUAGAUAUGGCUAUGAUUGCAGAAAAAUGUCACAAGAGAAGUUUAUUUCUGGCAGGCAAGGAUGAGAGAUCCUAAAGAUUCUUACCAGAGGCAUUUCAAAUGCCAUAAAGUCUCCAAGAAGUUUCUUUGAAACAAACACCAUAAACAUAUUUGACAGGAUAUAUACAGAUACAAGAACCAGAUUGUAAAGGAUCAAAGGUAUUUGUAUACUAAAGAAUAGGGGAUUACUCAUGUAAGAUUUCCAUUGGCAAAGAUGAUGACAGCAUGCUGCAAAGGCAGGCUGCAAUUGUCUCCUGGUCCUUUAUGUUGCUUAGUGUGGCAGCACGUUAAGUACUUCAUGAACCCACCUCUUGAAAGGGAGCCAUGCCUCAGCAGUUGGAGCUCACUGCAAAAUAAAUUCUUUCACCUUUGUAUAUGAUAUUCCAUCAUUCCACUUAGACAAUCAGGGACAUGAUGGUGUAGGAGCCAGCUAAAUCAGGGUUCUUUUUGGCGGAACAUCUUUCUAUGAGCAGCUUUGGCCAAGUGAUCUUCCCCUGCCAUUGCCAGCGAGGUAUGGCUCUUCCCAGUCCGGCCCAAAACGUAGCUUCUAGAUUGCUUAUUGAUUAGCAAAAAGGCUCUCAUGGUGGACCACAUCCAGCGUGGGGGAAUACACUUCACUGACAUAUACAAAUGUAUCAUGUGCAAAACAAAACUAGGAAUCAAUUGGGCUAGUAGGAUUUCUAUUUGCGCCUGGAGACUAAACUAGCGU